AAUGGCUUCCUGCGUGACCGUUUUAACAAACUGCGGUGAAAAGUUGCUGUAGCGAACCCUUAUAAAUAUAAACAUAUCUGCUUCGUUCUGUGACUUAUUUGAAUGUGUUUGUUCACGUUUGAACAUGCAACUAUCAGCAGAUACCGUUGAAGCUUGCUCAAUUUAACAACAUAGGGAAGCAUGACUAUGUCUAUAAACUGCCAGCACAUGGGAUCAGCUGCCUUCAGGGAAUGCCAGGCUUAUCAUGUGGUCAACACUAUUGCAAGAUACUGAGAUUAUCACAAUGGAACACAACUCUUUGUGAUGUAGCAUAUGUAUAAGAAAUUGGACGAGCUGGAAGAACGGGCAUAGGUGCACAGGCCAUCCUGUACUUCAACCAAGGAGACUUGGCCUCAACAGCAAUGAGGAAAGACAUGAAAGAAUACUGUUUAAACAAUUUGAUGUGCACAAGUGAAAUAAUAAAUUCUUUCUUCGGGUUCCACACAACGGUUAAACCACUUGCCUGUUGCAACGUUUGUAAUUCUGAUCUGGAACUGGAAUGGCAGUUUGGAAAUCUUAGAGUUGUGUGAACAAUGUACUGCAGUUCUCGAGUGAUUGGAUACACAUUAAUGUGCCCAAUAGGAUAUUUUAUGAAAAAACUGAAAAAAUCUUAACAAUUAUUAUUUGUUAAAGAUGCUGUAAUUUUAUAUUAUGAAUUUAAUAUUUUCAUCCUAAAAUAUUGACCUUUACUUACCGGCCCUGGGGGCCGUUUCAUCAAACAUCGUGCAACUGAUUUAGAAUACGAUGCAUAAUUCAAUUAAACAUUAUUACUUAACACGAAAUCAUAGUUUAAUUGCAAAUUUUGGAAAAUUGAUACAUAUCAUAAUUUUCUUACCCAUGGUCCAUAUUUUGAGUGCAUUUUGUUUAACAGCUUUUAUAUUUUCAAUUUUCCAGUUUUAAUCGUUUAUUUGAAUUUUCGUACAAUCUUUGAUGCAACGGUCUACAGCAUCUUUAAAGUUUUCGCUUCAUUAUGAUAUACCGGGGAAAUAUGUACAAACGUUCUUCUUAAAUUAUUUGCUAUAAAAAGAAAAAAAUUGAUGUAAUAAUAUAUCUUACUGAUCGUUUGCAGGUUAACAUAGCCAUGUCAGCAGUUAAAAAUAAAGUUUUAUCCUAUUUUAUACCUUUAAAGUACAUGAAAUUACAUCAAGGAAGAUUAAAGUCUACAAUUCAUAGAAAAUGUUCACUUUGUGAUUCUAAAUCCAUUUGAUGAAUUCCUCCAAAUUUAGUUUUGUAAUGGGAUUUUUUGGAGUCUUCUUCAUUGAUGUCACUUGUCUACCUGGAGUUAUCAGGUUACAAAUUCAAGUGAGGAAGCAGUCAGUUGCUUGCAUAAAGUGGCCAGUACUUUUGAUGCAAGAAAUGCUGGCGAGGUGGUCGUUUCAUGUGUAUUUUGUUCUUUUAUCCAUCCAC